GAUGAAGAACGCAGCGAAUUGCGAUAUGUAAUGUGAAUUGCAGAAUUCAGUGAAUCAUCGAAUCUUUGAACGCACAUUGCGCCCCUUGGUAUCCCGAGGGGCAUGCCUGUUCGAGCGUCAUUUCACCACUCAAGCCUGGCUUGGUGUUGGGCGACGUCCUCUUUGGGGACGCGCCUCGAAACGCUCGGCGGCGUGGCACCGGCUUUAAGCGUAGCAGAAUCUUUCGCUUUGGAAGUCGGGGCCCCGUCUGCCGGAAGACCUGCUCGCAAGGUUGACCUCGGAUCAGGCAGGGAUACCCGCUGAACUUAAGCAUAUCAAUAAGCGGAGGA
rnacentral:misc_RNA from 1 species